CCGGGUUCUCGCCAUUCUCCUGCCUCAGCCUUCCGAGUAGCUGGGACUAUAGGUGCCCGCCACCACGCCAGGCUAAUUUUUUGUAUUUUUAGUAGAGAUGGGGUUUCACCGUGUUAGCCAGGAUGGUCUCGAUCUUCUGACCUCGUGAUCCGCCCGCCUCGGCCUCCCAAAGUGCUAGGAUUACAGGCGUGAGCCACCGCGCCCGGCAGCAAAUUUUAAGCCAAGAAAUUGAAUGUUGCCAGAACCCCAGGAACCACCCAGCCUCUUCCCAUAUGACCACUUCCCCACACUCUCCACCUUCCUUACUUCUAUGGUAUUGAUGGAUGGUUGGGUGACAUGGACUCCAGUAUGUGCCAUGAAGGAUACGAAGAUGAAGCUGUCAUGAACUCUGCUCUCGAGAAGCUACUGUCAAAAUUUGAAGUGCCUGGGUCCACUUACAUGCAGAUUUUCAUCCACUUCUGCCAUCCCUGAUACAGCAAGAACAACACCUCCUCUUUCUUCUCCUCCUCAGCCUUCUCAAUGUGAACACCACAAGGAUGAAGACCUUUAUAAUGAUCCAUCUCCACUUAAUUAAGAAUAAAUAUUUUUUCUCUUACUCAUGAUUUUAUUAAUGGUAUUUUCUUUUCUCUAGCUUACUUUAUUAUAAAAAUACAGUAUAUAAUACAUAUAGCACACAAAAUAUGUGUUGAUCGACUAUUUAUGUUAUUGAUAAGGCUUCCGGUCAAAAGUAGGCUAAUAGUAGCUACAUUUUUUGGCAAAUCAAAGGCUAAUUACUUGGAUCUGAUCACUAUACAUUAUGUAUAUCACAACAUCACUAUGUGCCCCAUAAAUAUGUACAAUUAUUGUGUUUAUUUAAAAUUUGGAAAAUAAAAAGUUACAAAACAUUUUUUUAAAAUUUAAAAUUUAAAAGUUCUAUGUGGAUUUUUGAGUGCAUGGGUAAGUUGUCACCCCUAACCCCCGUGGUUCCAGGAUCAACUGUAGUGUGUAUUCUUACUGACUCAAAAUUCUUUAUAUUUAUCUGCUUCUCCACCACUCGCCACUUCAAAUGAACAAUUAACUUGUCAAAGAUUAUUUUCCUCAAUACACAACUUCCUAUUUCUCACUCUCCCUCAUCUCCUCUUUCUUUCUUCUUGCCUCUUAUUAAAACCCAAAAGUUGAUAAGAAAGUGGAAUUAAAGAUAGAAUUUGUGUAUAAACAGACUUAACUGUAGUGUUCAUUCUUUUCCAUUUCCUAAAUUGUCCAAUUUCACCAGACAAUGACCUCAAUCUAGCCUAGAAUAAUAAAAACAAUUACCAGCUACUCUAUUGCAUGAAUAAGCCCUAGUUUUACUUUGCAAGCAUCCCAUUAAGUGUUUGCUGGAUUUUUCUAUUUUCCUUCUCUAUGUCAGAGUCAAGGCAAGCAUCACAAGCCAAGUAGCCACCCUGCUAACUGGAAGGUAAAAGAAGAGCCAGGGGAGGGAAACAGACUCAGAGACUAUCAAUUUUCCCUGAACUAGAACAACCUAUUCUUAUCAGAGAAGAUGAGCAUCACUUAACAUUUGACAAACCACUGUCCCCAGAGUGCAUUACCAUGGUAAUCCA
rnacentral:lncRNA from 10 species